UGCCUAGCAUGACCCGUCCACAGAGAGGCUUCAUCCAGCAACUGAUGGGAACAGAUGCAGAGAUCCGCAGCCAAUCAUUAGCCUGAGACAGAGAAUCCUGCUGAAGAAAUGGAGAAAGAAUGGUAGAAACCAGCCAGCCUGACAAUAAAGAAUGUGACAGACCCUAAAUGUGGCCUCCAAGCCAGGAAGUAAAUGAAGAAAAACAUCUCCGGAUGAGCAUUCAGGAGGAGAUCCAUCACAAGGAGCCUCUAAGGACCAAGAUUGUGCUGCUGCUGUCACCAUUCCUUGAUGUGACAAAUGUCUACAGAGCUCAUCUUUCAUUGUUCCCUCAGUCAUGGUGUUGUGAAGAAUGGGAGCCCACAUUGACAAGAACAUUUUGAAAAGAAUGAAUCCAACAAGCCAAUGGAUAGUAAACAGACAACAUAACAAGUUAAACACUCUAGGAAACACAGGGGAUAGUGAUUCGUUUCCUAAGCCCAAGACAUCCUCAUGUCCUUUUUUUACUGAAAAUAAAAAUUCUAG